rnacentral:misc_RNA from 1 species
AAUUAUUGUAAAAGAAAGAAAGAAAUCCAUCUUAUAUACAUGUAUUUAUUACAACUAGUGUGGUCUUAAUUUAUUGUGUAUGUACUGUGUACAAAUUUUGGAUGAUUAAAUUGUAGUCGAACUAGUGAUGAUGUCGUGGAUUUUAGCUGGGAUGUUUUAUUUAUAUUCAUUGAGCAUGUACAUUCCUAAUCCAUCUUGCACUUUUUCGAUGAUUUUCGGGGGUUUUUUCAUCAUGAAGUGUUGAUAUAGUUUAAUAUUCAAGAACUUAGAUAAUAAAACGCAAAGAGAU